GGUUUUGGGGAAUUUUUGGGGAUUUUUUUGGGAUUUUUGGGAUUUUUUGGGGGAUUUUUUGGGGGAUUUUUUGAUUUUUUCGGGGAAUUUUUUUUGGAUUUUUGGGGGAUUUUUGGGAUUUUUUGGGGGAUUUUUUGGGGAUUUUUUGGGGGAUUUUUGGAUUUUUUGGGGGAUUUUUUUUUUGAUUUUUGGGGGAUCUUUGGGAUUUUUUUUGGGUUUUUGGGGGAUUUUUGGGAUUUUUUGGGGGAUUUUUAUGGGAUUUUUGAGGGAAUUUUUUUGGAUUUUUGGGGAAUUUUUGGGGGAUUUUUGGGGAUUUUUUUUGGGAAUUUUCUGUGAAUUCUUGGAAUUUUUGGGGGAUUUUUUUGGGAUUUUUUUGGGACUUUUUGGGGAUUUUUGGGGGAAUUUUAGGGAUUUCUUUUGGGAAUUUUUAGGGAAAUUUUUUGGGAAUUUUUGGGAAUUUUUUGGGGGGAAUUUUGGGAGGAUUUUGGGGAUUUUUGGGAAUUUUUUGGGGGGAAUUUUGGGAAUUUUUGUGAAUUUUUUGGGGGGAAUUUUGGCCGUUUUUGGGGUGAUUUUGUGGGGAUUUUUGGCCAUCCCAGAAUUUAAAUGAAUUUUAACCCUUCCGUGGCCGGGAAUCCCGGGGGAAUCCCUGGAAUUCCGGGAAUUCCGAGCCAUUCCCAAAGCUUUUCCCGGUUUUUCCCCCCAGGUCUCGGCCCGGGAGCGCCGGGAGCGGCUCCAGGAGAAAUCGCGGCUGAGCCGGAGCCUCCUCCCGCUGCUGCCCCAGCUCCUGGAAAAGUUCUCGGCCGAGCCCGAGGCGGUGGCGGCGCUGCUGGAGCUGCUCCCGCACCUGGAGCUCGGAAUGUUCCGGACGGCGCGGCUCGACAAGGUUUUGGAUCGGGUUCUGGAGCGGAUCCUGGAGCUGUUCCGCUGCCACUCGGAGCCGGUUCCGGUUCCCCUGAUCCCAUCCCAGUCCAUCCCAGUCUAUCCCAGUCCAUCCCAGUUUAUCCCAGUCCAUCC
rnacentral:lncRNA from 1 species